CAUCUUUUCCUCUGCAAAAAAACAAAGCGAAGGUCUUCUGAUUUGCUCCUCCGUAUGAAUUUUCCGACGAUCCCUCAUGAAUCGAACGUUGUCUCCAUCAACGUCGGAGGCCGAAUCUUCCAAACGACGAAACAAACCUUAACCUUAGCUGGCUCCGAUUCUCUUCUAUCUCGACUCGUCGUCACUGAGUCGACUCCUCCUUUCGUCGAUCGAGAUCCCGAUUUGUUCUCCGUUUUACUCUAUAUCCUCCGUACAGGGAACCUACCCGCGAGAUCAUCACGCUCCUUCGAUGUUCGAGAUCUCAUCGAUGAAUCUAGAUACUACGGGAUUGAGUCUUUCUUAAUCGAUUCUCUCUCGAAUUCGUCGCAGUUCGAGCCGUUCGAUCUCCGUAGAUCUAGGAUUCUUCAAUUGAACGGUCGAGAUUCUCCGUCGACGAUUUCGCCGACGGUUAACGGCGGAGGUCUACACGUCACGCACGGUAGCAAAAUCACUUCCUUCGAUUGGUCGUUGAGGCAAAAAUCGACUGUGUUGACGAAUUUCUCCGCCGUGGAUUCUCUUCUUGAGAUCUCUCCGGGAGUUUUAGCUGCCGGAGCCACCGAUUUCCAAGGUUUGCAAAUCAUCGAUAUUGAAAACGGUGGAUUCGUCCGUACGACUUUGAAUUGGGAAAACGUGACUAGGUCUAGCUCUACGGUUCAAGCCAUAGGUUCUUCCUCUGAGUUUCUGUUCACUAGCUUUGAAUCUAGCAGAAGGAACUCGAAUUCGAUUAUGGUGUAUGAUCUUUCUACGUUGAUGCCUGUGUCUGAGAUUGAUCAUUGUGAUAUCUAUGGCCCUGAUAUUGGUUCUGCGAUUCCAUCGACUAAGUUGAGGUGGAUUGAGAGUUGUAAUUUGUUGAUGGUUUCUGGUUCUCAUACUAGUCCAUCUGGUGUGAAUGGCCACAUUAGGUUUUGGGAUGUUAGAUCAAGGAAUAUGGUUUGGGAAAUUAAGGAGACACAAGAUUGUUUCUCUGAUGUUACUGUCUCGGAUAAUCUCUCAGCAGUUUUCAAGGUCGGUGUGGCUUCAGGAGAAGUUUUCUACGCUGAUCUCAGGAGGUUAGGAGAUAAGAAUCCAUGGGUUUGUCUUGGGGAAGAGAAGAAGAGAAGCUUGAAUGAGAGAAGAGAAGGAGUUGGGUGUAAGAUUGAGAGCUAUGGAAAUCAUGUGUUUUGUAGUAAAGGAAGUGGGAUCGAGCUUUGGUCUGAAGUGAUCACGGGUUUGGUAGGGAAUGCAAGCCGGGAUGUUCCAGAAGGGAGGGUUUUUAGGAAGAAUUCAUUCGAGAAAUUAGCGGAUUCAGGAGAAAACAAGAUAACCGGAUUGGCGUUUGGAGGAAAUAGAAUGUUUGUGACCCGAAAGGAUCAUCAGUCUAUUGAGGUUUGGCAAAGUCCUAGUCGUGGAAUAUCGAUCUAAUGAGCAAGUACCAAGCUCUGGUUCCAGUGAUCACUAGUUGGUUAGAAUUGAAUCCAACCAAAACUAGUUAGCGACUUACAACCAAAACGGUUUGUUACAGAAGACACAUCUAUGUCUUUAUCUACCAGAGCUAGUUCUGUAGUCAGAGAGGCCGUUAGUAUAGUCUCCAACUUCGGUUUCGGGAACUCUGUUACCAGAAUAUCU